rnacentral:rRNA from 1 species
CCCUGCCAUUUGUACACACCGCCCGUCGCUACUACCGAUUGAAUGGUUUAGUGAGAUCUCGGGACUGGCUUGCUACGGCUGGCGACAGCCCGGCUGGCCGGGAACCUGCUCAAACUUGAUCAUUUAGA